UACGAAGGGGGCUAGCGUUGUUCGGAAUCACUGGGCGUAAAGCGCACGUAGGCGGAUUUGUUAGUCAGGGGUGAAAUCCCGGGGCUCAACCUCGGAACUGCCUUUGAUCCUGCAGAUCUCGAGUCCGGAAGAGGUGAGUGGAAUUCCUAGUGUAGAGGUGAAAUUCGUAGAUAUUAGGAAGAACACCAGUGGCGACGGCGGCUCACUGGUCCGGUACUGACGCUGAGUUGCGAAAGCGCGGGGAGCAAACAGG
rnacentral:rRNA from 1 species